rnacentral:rRNA from 1 species
UACGUAGGGUGCGAGCGUUAAUCGGAAUUACUGGGCGUAAAGCGUGCGCAGGCGGCUUGCCAAGUCAGAUGUGAAAGCCCCGGGCUCAACCCGGGAACUGCGUUUGAAACUGGCAGGCUAGAGUUUGGCAGAGGGGGGUGGAAUUCCACGUGUAGCAGUGAAAUGCGUAGAGAUGUGGAGGAACACCGAUGGCGAAGGCAGCCCCUGGGCCAAAACUGACGCUCAGGCACGAAAGCGUGGGAGCAAACAGG